rnacentral:tRNA from 1 species
GUCUCGGUAGCUCAGCGGCUAGAGCAAUACGAUACGUUCCUAUCGGUCGGCGGUUCGAAUCCGCCCCGAGACC